AGUGGGCGGUGAUUGGCCCUGGGCGGUGCAAUCGCAGCUUGUGCGUCACGACGCCGCCAGCUGAUCGGAGCCUGGAGCCGGUGUGUGCUGGGCGCAGGGAAGACACAGCGCCGCCGGCCGUGGGGGACGGACGCACUGAUUUGCUCCCCUACCCUCAGCAGCCCCCCCACCCAGCACCAGGUGGGUGUGAGCUGGGGUCUCCGCCGCACAGGAGGGAACCGUGCUAACAGGGAGCCUGUCCCUCCCACAUCCUCAACUGGCUGAGCCGCAGUAGUUCUUCAGUGGCAAGCUUUAUGUCCUGACCCAGCUAAAGCUGCCAGUUGAAGAACUGUUGCCCUCUGCCCCUGGCUUCAAGGAGGAGGAGGAAGAGGAGAAGGAGCUGCUUUCCCCCUCAUCUGGAAGGUGACGGAACUGGGGCUGGGAAGGUCAGAACAGCGGGAGUGGUGAUGCCUUUUGGAAAAGGGAACCUUGUUCAGUUGGAGACCCUUCAGCCAGAUUGGCCCAGCAAGAGAGAACAGUUGUAGAUUAGAGACCCUCGUUGGGCUGGGGACUAGAUGGCUGUGACUACCCAAGGUUAGUUGGUCUACAUCAGUGUGUGACAAAGGGAAGACAAUGGGAGCAAAGAAAACUGGCAACACCUUUACUCAGAUGUCUUUCUUGACCCUCCUUCCUGUCUCCCUUUCUUUCCUACUGCCUUUCCAGGUGAGGUCCAAAGUAAAUUUCAUCUUCAGGGAAGAGGUCAUACUGAAACUCCCAUCUGAGUAGUCAACCCCAUGCUCUUAGCUUUCCCUGUAUUUCCUCAGACUGGCCUAGACUCCAGUUACAGGGAUAAAUCACCUAUAGUGGGACCCUUGGGCCUCUUGUCUCAGCUUCAACACCUGUGAGAUGCAGAAUCAUACAGUUGAAUGUGCAGGAGGGAAUCAGAAGCCUACUGUGCAGACUCAGAGCCUGGGCUCUCCUCUCCCUGUGGGUGGGAACAAAACAGCUUUUCAUAUAAGCUGUUGCCCCUCCCCCCAUCCCUAACCAACACAACCCCUGGAGCUGGGGGUGGGGGGAGGAUUAGAGGGAGGGGGCUAGAGUUAGACCAGGGCUAGGGGCUGGAGGAGCUCAGUCUCUACAUUGACUUCCCACCAUGCAAAGGCGGCCCCAGGUUUCCUCUGCCACCCAAAACAGAACUGUAGCCCCUGAUGGGGUUCCAACUGCUGUUCCUCUGUUUCUUCUCUCACUUUACCUUCCAGGAUAAUUUGUGAGACUCAGCUCAGGCUUAUGAGGCAGGAAAUUCUCUCCAGCAACCAGGCGAGAUGGGUUGUGGGAUGUGACCCCCUGUGGGGAAUCAAGCUGUGUAAACCUAGCACCCCUGGCUCCUGAUGCCAUGUAACUCUUGGGGCUCAGGCUCUGGUGUGGUUCAACCGUGGCCCAGCCUCCCUGCCUGAAGGUGGCCAAAUUCAGGGGCUGCAGAAAGCUGUCCCGCUGUGGGGCACAAGAUGUACAGGUAGCUGGGUCCUUUUCUCCAUUUAUGAGAGAGAUUUAGGGGAGAGUAGAUCAUUGAACCCACCCUUCUGCAGCCUAGGCUGGAUGUGUGUGGGAUUGCAGUGGAGGGGGUGGGUAGACUGGGUCCACUCAUAGGCUGCAACAAAGAUUGUUCUGUCCCUGGACAUUGCUUCCGUCCUUUCUUCCCCUCUCCGCUUCACUGGCCACAGUGUCUCCCUCCAGCCCUGGGUAUGUGGCUCUGCCAUCCUCACCCGUCAUGGAGCAGAGAUGAGGAAGAGCAGCCUGGGAACACAGAGGCAGGCAGAAGACCAGUGAAGGACCAGGCCCGGAGAGCACAGGGCCCUGUCUGGGCACCCCGCAGAGGGGACCCAUAAAGGCCAGGAGCACCCCAGGAGGAGGGAGGACGGCCAGCCUCCAUCAAGAACAAGCUCCCGGCCACUGGCUUCAUUCACUAUUUCUCUCCAGUGUCACUACCUCCCUGAGAUAUGAGACUGUGUUAAAAUGUCCUGUUGCUUCAUCCUCCUACUUCUACUCCCUACCCUAUAGAGUGAUAUAAAGCAGACUCAAGGAGCAAGAACCAGCUGUGAAAGGACAUAUGUAGGGAAUUCAUAGAAGAAAUUCAAAUGGAUAAAACCAUGAAAAACACUGUGUGCUUCAUUAGUAAUUAAAGAAAGACAAGCAUAGCUGAAAGCAUUUUUCCCUCGGCAAACUAUAUUUUAAAAAAUAAAAAAAGGAAGACCCAGUAUCGGCAAAGGAGCACUAAAAUAACACUCCCAUACCUUGCAUAUGGGGGUGCGAAUUGGUAUAGCCUUCCUGGAUGUCAGUUUGGUAGUAUGUGUCAAACACUCUAAAAGUGUCCAUCGCCUUUGACCUAGUGAUUCUACACUUGGGAAUUUAUCCUAAGAAAAUAAUUAAAGAUUCAGUUACAAGAUGCUCACCCCAGCAUUGCAAUAGAAAAAAUGAGAAGCGGUUGUCUGAUUGGGAAUUCACUUCUUCUUUGCUGUAAUGAAAAUUUGCAAUGGGGGAUUGCUUAAGUAAAUCAUUGUAUAUCCAUCCAGAUGGUGGAGUACUGCACAGCCAUUAGAAGUCAUGUAGAAGAACAUUUGACUGGAAAGAAAAAUGCUCUUUGAAUAUUAAAAAGGUUAUGAAAAUA